rnacentral:rRNA from 1 species
CGCGGCCUAUCAGCUUGUUGGUGGGGUAAUGGCCUACCAAGGCGACGACGGGUAGCCGGCCUGAGAGGGCGACCGGCCACACUGGGACUGAGACACGGCCCAGACUCCUACGGGAGGCAGCAGUGGGGAAUAUUGCACAAUGGGCGAAAGCCUGAUGCAGCGACGCCGCGUGAGGGAUGACGGCCUUCGGGUUGUAAACCUCUUUCAGCAGGGAAGAAGCGAAAGUGACGGUACCUGCAGAAGAAGCGCCGGCUAACUACGUGCUAGCAGCCGCGGUAAUACGUAGGGCGCAAGCGUUGUCCGGAAUUAUUGGGCGUAAAGAGCUCGUAGGCGGUUUGUCGCGUCUGUCGUGAAAGUCCGGGGCUCAACUCCGGAUCUGCGGUGGGUACGGGCAGACUAGAGUGUGGUAGGGGAGAUCGGAAUUCCUGGUGUAGCGGUGAAACGCGCAGAUAUCAGGAGGAACACCGGUGGCGAAGGCGGAUCUCUGGGCCAUUACUGACGCUGAGGAGCGAAAGCGUGGGGAGCGAACAGGAUUAGAUACCCUGGUAGUCCACGCCGUAAACGUUGGGAGCUAGGUGUUGGCGACAUUCCACGUCGUCGGUGCCGCAGCUAACGCAUUAAGUUCCCCGCCUGGGGAGUACGG